CGAGGGACUUCAUCUUGUAACAAGAGGCCAGGUUUGAUCGAGUCAUGUACAAAAUAGUGGGAGAUCAAGUUGGGUCGAGUCAUGUUUGAAAUAGCGGAAGGCCGGAUUGGGCUAAAUCAUAUUCAAAAUAGCGUGAGAUUGAUUAGGCCAACUCACUAUCAAAAUCCACUGGUGUUGUGUCUGUACGCUUUAAGUGAGUUGGUUGUUUAUUGGUCGCGCUUCACAUAAAAAAUGGUUACGUAUAUAAUUUUAUCAUGAGUCCUGCUACUAUACUCUUACAAGUGUAGAGCCUUUUAUACUCAUAAGCGUUCGGCCGUUAAAUCUACUCAUUAGAUCAUAUACUAUUCAACUAACAACUCACUCAAUCGUAAAAUACCACUAGCAUUCUAACCGCACAUCCCUUUAUCCAACGGUCGAAAAUUUAUGAGUAUAAAAGAGUCUAUACUUAUAAGAAUAUUAAGAGAAUUGUAGCCCUAAUAUAGACAGAAAAACAUAAUACAUAAUACAAGGACAGUGGUGGAUCCACCUUAAUUUCAAUAGGGUCUGCAAGACCCCACUGAAGUAUAUGAUAUACUAAGAAAAAACUUCAAAUACCAUUUCUGUGGAUUCGCACUUUCUCACUUUAGCAUCCUGUGGUUUAAAGUGUAUCAAGUUAGUGUCAAGUGGUUUCAUUUUUCUCUUUUUAUUAUUUAUUUCAUUAAUUUUUUUUGUUAAAUCAGUGACAAAUUUAAAAAUAAAGGGCACUGAAGUGAAUAUCAAUAAACCUGGGUGGGGUAUCUAAAGUUUUUUAUAUAUAAUUUAACGAAAUAUUAACGGAGGAGUUGACGAAAAGAGAAAAAUGAAACCACAGGACAUUGACUUGAUACCCUUUAAAUCACAUAAAACUUAAGUGAGAAAGUGCAAAACCACAUGGGUGGUAUUUCAAGUUUACCCACAUCUAUAGUAUAUAUGAAUUCUCAGUUAUGGGACAGGUGGCGGCGAGCGCGGAGGCAUGGGCGGGGGCGAGGGCGAGCGCGGGGCGCGGGUAGGCGGGCGAGCGUGG
rnacentral:lncRNA from 1 species